GCCUUAGAGCAAGGACGUGCUUACGAACCGUGUCAGGUCCGGAAGGAAGCAGCACUAAGUUUGUUGCAUCCUGUGCUCUAAGUUUGA
rnacentral:SRP_RNA from 1 species